rnacentral:rRNA from 1 species
CGACGUGAGGAACCUGCCUUUCAGAGGGGGACAACAGUUGGAAACGACUGCUAAUACCGCAUAAUAUAUGUUUGUCGCAUGGCAGAUAUAUCAAAGAUUUAUCGCUGAGAGAUGGCCUCGCGUCUGAUUAGCUAGUUGGUAGGGUAACGGCCUACCAAGGCGACGAUCAGUAGCCGGACUGAGAGGUUGGCCGGCCACAUUGGGACUGAGAUACGGCCCAGACUCCUACGGGAGGCAGCAG